UACAGAGGUCUCAAGCGUUGUUCGGAUUCAUUGGGCGUAAAGGGUGCGUAGGUGGCGCCGUAAGUCGGGUGUGAAAUUUCGGAGCUUAACUCCGAAACUGCAUUCGAUACUGGCGUGCUUGAGGACUGGAGAGGAGACUGGAAUUCAUGGUGUAGCAGUGAAAAUGCGUAGAGAUCAUGAGGAAGACCAGUGGCGAAGGCGGGUCUCUGGACAGUUCCUGACACUGAGGCACGAAGGCCAGGGGAGCAAACGGG
rnacentral:rRNA from 1 species